rnacentral:rRNA from 1 species
UACGGAGGGUGCAAGCGUUGUUCGGAAUCAUUGGGCGUAAAGCGCGUGUAGGCGGCUUGGUAAGUCGGGUGUGAAAUCCCGGGGCCCAACCCCGGAACUGCAUUCGAAACUGCCUCGCUAGAGUCCCGGAGAGGAAGGCGGAAUUCCCGGUGUAGAGGUGAAAUGCGUAGAUAUCUGGAGGAACACCGGUGGCGAAGGCGGCAUCCUGGACCGGCAUUGACGCUGAGGCGCGAAAGCUAGGGGAGCAAACGGG